AUUGAACGCUGGCGGCGUGCUUAACACAUGCAAGUCGAUCGGUAACAGGUGUAGCAAUACAUGCUGACGAGAGGCGGACGGGUGAGUAAUGCUUGGGAAUCUGCCUAUUAGUGGGGGACAACCCGGGGAAACUCGGGCUAAUACCGCAUACGCUCUACGGAGGAAAGCCGGGGACCGCAAGGCCUGGCGCUAAUAGAUGAGCCCAAGUCGGAUUAGCUAGUUGGCGGGGAACGGCUCACCAAGGCUACGAUCCGUAGCUGGUUUGAGAGAAUGACCAGCCACACUGGGACUGAGACACGGCCCAGGACUCCUACGGGAGGCAGCAGUGGGGAAUCUUGGACAAUGGCGAAAGCCUGAUCCAGCCAUGCCGCGUGAGUGGCGAAGGCC
rnacentral:rRNA from 1 species